CACCGCGGUUACACGGGGGGCCCGAGUUGACACAUACCGGCGUAAAGGGUGGCUAGUAAACUUCUAAACUAAAGCCAAACACUCUCAAAACUGUCAUACGCACUCGAGAGCAGGAGGCACUUCUACGAAAGUGGCUUUAACUUCUACAACCCACGAAAGCUAAGGAA
rnacentral:rRNA from 1 species